rnacentral:rRNA from 1 species
CCCUUAGAUGUUCUGGGCUGCACACGUGCUACACUGGCAGGUUCAGCGAGCUUCAUGCCCUGAUCUGAAAGGAAUGGGAAAUCUUUUCAAAACCUGCCGUGCUUGGGAUAGAUGUUUGCAAUUAUUCAUCUUCAACGAGGAUUGCCUUGUAAGCGCACGUCAUCUGCGUGCAUUGAAUACGACCCUGUAUUCUGUACACACCGCCCGUCGCUCCUACCGAUUGAAGUUUUCGGUGAGUUGACAGGAGGAUUUUUUUGAAACUGGUUCGCCAGUGGAUUUUAGAUCCAAAUGCCAACGAAUCGAUGGCUUUAGAGGAAGGAGAAGUCGUAACA